GCUUCAUCUUGGACUCUGCAUUUUACUCAGCAGCAUCCUCAACAUUUACUCUGCCCAUGACAUCCCCUGUGCCAACUUUCUAAAGGCUAUCUGGGAGGACAUUUUGAAGGAGUAUUAGACUUCUUCAGGGAUUCACUUAAGGACAACUGAAGUACAUGGGAUGAUUUGAAGACCAAGACUUUAACAGUGUUUUGAGCUUCCAGAGAGAGGACAGUCAAGUGCAUAAACUGCAAAGAGAUGCAUAUGAAGUCUUGAUGGUUUUGCUGAACACUUAUUAGAGGAGACUGGCACUGGCUACAAGAACAGUGACGCUUUCUAAUAAACCCAAAAUUUGUAUUAAGUUCAUUAUC